AGUGAACGCUGGCGGUAGGCCUAACACAUGCAAGUCGAACGGCAGCACAGUAAGAGCUUGCUCUUACGGGUGGCGAGUGGCGGACGGGUGAGGAAUACAUCGGAAUCUACUUUUUCGUGGGGGAUAACGUAGGGAAACUUACGCUAAUACCGCAUACGACCUACGGGUGAAAGCAGGGGAUCUUCGGACCUUGCGCGAUUGAAUGAGCCGAUGUCGGAUUUGCUAGUUGGCGGGGUAAAGGCCCACCAAGGCGACGAUCCGUAGCUGGUCUGAGAGGAUGAUCAGCCACACUGGAACUGAGACACGGUCCAGACUCCGACGGGAGGCAGCAGUGGGGAAUAUUGGACAAUGGGCGCAAGCCUGAUCCAGCCAUACCGCGUGGGUGAAGAAGGCCUUCGGGUUGUAAAGCCCUUUUGUUGGGAAAGAAAAGCAGCAGGUUAAUACCCCGCUGUUCUGACGGUACCCAAAGAAUAAGCACCGGCUAACUUCGU
rnacentral:rRNA from 1 species